CGCGAGCGUUGUCCGGAUUUAUUGGGCGUAAAGAGCUCGUAGGCGGCUUGUCGCGUCGUCCGUGAAAACCUGCAGCUCAACUGCAGGCUUGCGGUCGAUACGGGCAGGCUGGAGUUCGGUAGGGGAGACUGGAAUUCCUGGUGUAGCGGUGAAAUGCGCAGAUAUCAGGAAGAACACCAAUGGCGAAGGCAGCUCUCUGGGACGGUACUGACGCUGAGACGCGAAAGCGUGGGGAGCGAACAGG
rnacentral:rRNA from 1 species